CACAGGAACCAAUUCCUGUACUAAUCGAAGUGACCAUCUAGCAAUGGUAUCCGACGAUCUGAUAGGUUGAAUAGUCGCAAUCGCAACACUCAGAACCUACGUGAAUAUGGUUACUGUAUAAUUCAUCCUUUUGACCUCUGUGUUUAGGACGACUCAGGGUUAAACUGUCAACCCUGAUUAGAUCAUCCGAAUCGUGCUCAACUCAAACAGUCCUGUGACUCCUCACAAGGACUACCCUGGUCAAGAUUUUGCUAAAUUGAAACAUGACUGUACACAGCUCCUAAACUGGAGUGGUCAAUCCCAUCUUGACACACGCACCGACAAGUCAAGUACUUGCUACACCCAGCAGCCUUCCGUCACUGAAUUAGAAAUUCAAGUAGUCCAGUGCCUAAGUGCAGUGAGUUGCUUGCAAGUCACCGUGGCGGUCU
rnacentral:lncRNA from 1 species